GUCUUCUAUUAUAUAAGCCAACCCCGUUCUUUGUAGAGUAGACCUCCACUGAAGUCUUCCAGCUGUCUACAUUCUCAGUACCAACCGAACCACCCGAGCCCAACGAUGUUCACCUUGAAGAAAUCCCUGUUGCUCCUUUUCUUCCUUGGGAUCAUCAACGUAUCUCUCUGUGAGGAAGAGAGAGAUGCCGAUGAGGAAGAAAGAAGAGAUGAUCCCGAAGAAAGGCAUGUUGAAAUGGAAAAACGAUUUAAUGCAUUUAAAAAGAUUCCAAAAUUUAGCAAAUCUAUACUUGGAAAAUAACCCCAAAUUUUUUAAACUUUUGAAAUUGAAUUGGAAAUCAUCUGAUGUGGAAUAUCAUUUAGCUAAAUGCAUAUCAGAUGUCUUAUAAAAAAUAAAGAUAUCACAUGCA